rnacentral:sRNA from 1 species
AGGGUCUGCAGUGGCCUGGUGUCACCUCUGCAGAAGCAGCUGUUCUGUGGCCCAAUGGUGAUCCUGAAGGACCUGGAGGUGCUGGCAGAAAUCGCUUCCUCCCCCGCAGGCCAGACGGAUGACCCAGGCCCCCUCGAUGGCCCUGACCUCCAGGCCAGCCACUCAGAGCUCCAGGUGCCCACCCCUGGCAGAGCCGGCCUACUGAACACCUCCGGUACCAAAGGCUUAGAAUGUUCUCCUUCCACUCCCACCAUGAAUUCUUACUUUUAUAAGUUCAUGAUCAACCUUCUCAAGAGAUUCAGCAGCGAACGGAAGCUCCUGGAGGUCAGAGGCCCUUUCAUCAUCAGAAAUGAAGAAGGUUGCCCCUUCAUACUAGUUGCUGAUGCUUCUGACAUGAAACAGACAGGUCAGUGUUGAUGUUUUUCCGCAAAA